ACCGACGAGGGUGAUUACAACAUCAAGCUGCGCAAUCUGAUCACCUUCCUGGAUGAAGGCGAUAAAGCCAAAAUUACUCUCCGCUUCCGUGGUCGGGAGAUGGCGCAUCAGGAAUUUGGAGUGCGGUUGCUGGAGCGGAUAAAAGGCGAUCUGGAAUCGCAUGCGGUAGUGGAGCAAUUUCCCAAAAUGGAGGGACGCCAGAUGGUGAUGGUGUUAUCUCCACGAAAGAAAGAAAUAAAGAACUCCAAAGAAAUAAAAACCUCCAACCCAAAGGAAAUAAAACCGAACACUGCCACCGAAAGCCAGCCUGAGCGGCACUAGCCCACUCA
rnacentral:misc_RNA from 1 species